CGUGGGCGAUGAAGGCUUUCGGGUCGUAAAGCCCUGUCGAGAGGGACGAAAAACGAGGUGGCUAAUAUCCACUUCGCUUGACAGUACCUCUAGAGGAAGCACCGGCUAACUACGUGCCAGCAGCCGCGGUAAUACGUAGGGUGCGAGCGUUGUUCGGAAUUAUUGGGCGUAAAGCGCGUGUAGGUGGUUUUGCAAGUCAGAUGUGAAAGCCCUGGGCUCAACCCAGGAAGUGCAUCUGAAACUGCAUGGCUAGAGGACGGUAGGGGAAGGUGGAAUUCCUAGUGUAGAGGUGAAAUUCGUAGAUAUUAGGAGGAAUACCGGUGGCGAAAGCGGCCUUCUGGGCCGUUCCUGACACUGAGACGCGAAAGCGUGGGUAGCAAACAGGAUUAGAUACCCUGGUAGUCCACGCCGUAAACGAUGGGUACUAGGUGUUGCGGGAAUUGACCCCUGCAGUGCCGCCGCUAACGCAUUAA
rnacentral:rRNA from 1 species